AAAUUGAAGAGUUUGAUCAUGGCUCAGAUUGAACGCUGGCGGCAGGCCUAACACAUGCAAGUCGAGCGGUAGCACAGAGAGCUUGCUCUCGGGUGACGAGCGGCGGACGGGUGAGUAAUGUCUGGGAAACUGCCUGAUGGAGGGGGAUAACUACUGGAAACGGUAGCUAAUACCGCAUAACGUCGCAAGACCAAAGUGGGGGACCUUCGGGCCUCAUGCCAUCAGAUGUGCCCAGAUGGGAUUAGCUAGUAGGUGGGGUAACGGCUCACCUAGGCGACGAUCCCUAGCUGGUCUGAGAGGAUGACCAGCCACACUGGAACUGAGACACGGUCCAGACUCCUACGGGAGGCAGCAGUGGGGAAUAUUGCACAAUGGGCGCAAGCCUGAUGCAGCCAUGCCGCGUGUGUGAAGAAGGCCUUCGGGUUGUAAAGCACUUUCAGCGGGGAGGAAGGCGUUAAGGUUAAUAACCUCAUCGAUUGACGUUACCCGCAGAAGAAGCACCGGCUAACUCCGUGCCAGCAGCCGCGGUAAUACGGAGGGUGCAAGCGUUAAUCGGAAUUACUGGGCGUAAAGCGCACGCAGGCGGUCUGUCAAGUCGGAUGUGAAAUCCCCGGGCUCAACCUGGGAACUGCAUUCGAAACUGGCAGGCUAGAGUCUUGUAGAGGGGGGUAGAAUUCCAGGUGUAGCGGUGAAAUGCGUAGAGAUCUGGAGGAAUACCGGUGGCGAAGGCGGCCCCCUGGACAAAGACUGACGCUCAGGUGCGAAAGCGUGGGGAGCAAACAGGAUUAGAUACCCUGGUAGUCCACGCCGUAAACGAUGUCGAUUUGGAGGUUGUGCCCUUGAGGCGUGGCUUCCGGAGCUAACGCGUUAAAUCGACCGCCUGGGGAGUACGGCCGCAAGGUUAAAACUCAAAUGAAUUGACGGGGGCCCGCACAAGCGGUGGAGCAUGUGGUUUAAUUCGAUGCAACGCGAAGAACCUUACCUGGUCUUGACAUCCACAGAACUUUCCAGAGAUGGAUUGGUGCCUUCGGGAACUGUGAGACAGGUGCUGCAUGGCUGUCGUCAGCUCGUGUUGUGAAAUGUUGGGUUAAGUCCCGCAACGAGCGCAACCCUUAUCCUUUGUUGCCAGCGGUCCGGCCGGGAACUCAAAGGAGACUGCCAGUGAUAAACUGGAGGAAGGUGGGGAUGACGUCAAGUCAUCAUGGCCCUUACGACCAGGGCUACACACGUGCUACAAUGGCAUAUACAAAGAGAAGCGACCUCGCGAGAGCAAGCGGACCUCAUAAAGUAUGUCGUAGUCCGGAUUGGAGUCUGCAACUCGACUCCAUGAAGUCGGAAUCGCUAGUAAUCGUAGAUCAGAAUGCUACGGUGAAUACGUUCCCGGGCCUUGUACACACCGCCCGUCACACCAUGGGAGUGGGUUGCAAAAGAAGUAGGUAGCUUAACCUUCGGGAGGGCGCUUACCACUUUGUGAUUCAUGACUGGGGUGAAGUCGUAACAAGGU
rnacentral:rRNA from 1 species